AGCAAUCUACACACAUACACUCACACACCCCGUCCCUUUCCCUCCUCGCAGAAGCCGAGGAGAUGCCAUGUGAGGGUGCAGCGAGGAGUUGGGCUGUCUAAAAGCAAAGAAAGAGAUUGCAUCAGACACCGCAUCUGCUGACACCUUGUUCUUGGACUUCCAGCUUCCAAAACCGCGAGAAAUAAAUGUCUGUGUCUAAACCCCAACCCUACCACCUCAACUGCCGUGUGUGGUGUUUUGUGAUGGCAGCCCCAGCUGACUGAGACACCUGGUUAGACCGGAAUAAGCAGUACCUGAGUCCCUUAAGAGUGGCCAAAGAAGAAAGAAUCCACUGAGUUGACAUUCCAGUUCAGCUGCAAUCGGUAGCAGUCACCAUUGAACAUCCUUGAAGCAAUUCUUCCAAAAUUACCUUGCAUCAAAGACUGCACAAGAACUGCUCUAAGCGGAAGGACUGAUGUCGGCAACCAGGGUUCCACCAGGGGCUGCAGACAGCCCUUGACCUUCAGGUAGAACUGGAAGAUUUUGCUGAAAGAUUGGACAUGGCAUUCAGAGAAACAGAGGUUUUAAUGACAAACUCCAAGUUUUUGGCUGGAGCAACUGGAAGAAUGAGGUUGCCAUGAACCGAAAAGAGAGAUUGCAGAAGUAACCAAAUUUACUCACGUAGGCCAGGAAUUUCUAUGACGUGUUCCAAAUUCAGCCUCUCACUGAACACUUCCAGAGCAAGGCAACAUAAACAUCUGCAAGAAGAACAUUGUGUGAGAAAUAUCAAGUGAGAGUGGAAGAGUCUGCGGAGGGCCUCCCUGGGGCUCACCUGUGCUUUUGCCUGAGCUUCACCGUGUCAAGGAUGCAGCACUUUUUCCCUCUGGAGGAAGCAGCUUUCACCUUGGAAGAAUCUUGACCUUGCCAUUCAAAGUCACCAGACAGGGAAUCUGCCAGUGCCUUGAUCUUAGACUUCCCAGCUUCUGUAACUGUGAGCAAUAAAUGUAUGCUGCUUAUAAACUA
rnacentral:lncRNA from 1 species